UCCACACAACUUGGCAUAUAGAUUCAUGG
rnacentral:piRNA from 1 species